AGGACGAACGCUGGCGGCGUGCUUAACACAUGCAAGUCGAGCGGAAAGGCCCUUCGGGGUACUCGAGCGGCGAACGGGUGAGUAACACGUGAGUAAUCUGCCCCUAGCUCUGGGAUAGCUCCGGGAAACCGGGAUUAAUACCGGAUACGACCACUUUAGACAUCUGUUGUGGUGGAAAGAAUUUUGGCUAGGGAUGAGCUCGCGGCCUAUCAGCUUGUUGGUGGGGUAACGCCUACCAAGGCGACGACGGGUA
rnacentral:rRNA from 1 species